GAACGAACGCUGGCGGCAUGCCUAACACAGGCAAGUCGAACGAGACCUUCGGGUCUAGUGGCGCACGGGUGCGUAACGCGUGGGAACCUGCCCUUAGGUUCGGAAUAACUCCCCGAAAGGGGUGCUAAUACCGGAUAAUGUCUUCGGACCAAAGAUUUAUCGCCUUUGGAUGGGCCCGCGUUGGGUUAGCUAGUUGGUAGGGUAAAAGCCUACCAAGGCGACGAUCCAUAGCUGGUCUGAGAGGCUGAUCAGCCACACCGGGACUGAGACACGGCCCAGACUCCUACGGGAGGCAGCAGUGGGGAAUAUUGGACCAUGGGCGAAAGCCUGAUCCAGCAAUGCCGCGUGAGUGAUGAAGGCCUUAGGGUUGUAAAGCUCUUUUACCCGGGAUGAUAAUGACAGUACCGGGAGAAUAAGCUCCGGCUAACUCCGUG
rnacentral:rRNA from 1 species